UGUGUGUGUGUGUGUUUCUGUUGACGUGGUUUAUGCAGAAGACACAGGGCGCAGGAGUAAAUCCUCAUUUGCAACCCAGAACUCACUGUUCAGUGUGAGUUUGGAUACCCGUGAGAAGGGAUACG